AACGAACGCUGGCGGCAGGCUUAACACAUGCAAGUCGAACGCAUCCUUCGGGGUGAGUGGCAGACGGGUGAGUAACGCGUGGGAACGUGCCCUUCAGUUCGGGAUAACCCAGGGAAACUUGGGCUAAUACCGGAUACGUGCGAGAGCAGAAAGAUUUAUCGCUGAAGGAUCGGCCCGCGUCUGAUUAGCUAGUUGGUGGGGUGAUGGCCCAACAAGGCGACGAUCAGUAGCUGGUCUGAGAGGAUGAUCAGCCACAUUGGGACUGAGACACGGCCCAAACUCCUACGGGAGGCAGCAGUGGGGAAUAUUGGACAAUGGGCGCAAGCCUGUUCCAGCCAUGCCGCGUGAGUGAUGAAGGCCUUAGGGUUGUAAGGCUCUUUCGUCCGGGACGAUAAUGACGGUACCGGAAGAAGAAGCCCCGGCUAACUUCGUGCCAGCCGCCGCGGUAAAAC
rnacentral:rRNA from 1 species